AAUCAACGCUGGCGGCGUGCCUAACACAUGCAAGUCGAACGCGAAAAUUCCUUCGGGGAUGAGUAGAGUGGCGUCCGGGUGAGUAACGCGUGGGUAAUCUGCCUUCGGGUGGGGAAUAACCCAGGGAAACUUGGGCUAAUACCGCAUAAUGCAGCGGCUCGACAUCGAGACAGUUGUUAAAGCAGCAAUGCGCCUGAAGAGGAGCCUGCGUCUGAUUAGCAGUUGGUAAGGUAAUGGCUUACCAAGGCUACGAUCAGUAGCUGGUCUGAGAGGACGGCCAGCCACAAUGGCACUGAAACACGGGCCAUACUCCUACGGGAGGCAGCAGUGGGGAAUUUUGCGCAAUGGGCGGAAGCCUGACGCAGCAACGCCGCGUGU
rnacentral:rRNA from 1 species